rnacentral:rRNA from 2 species
UACAGAGGGGGCAAGCGUUAUUCGGAAUUAUUGGGCGUAAAGGGCGCGUAGGCGGUCCUUCAAGUCUCUCGUGAAAUCCCUCGGCUUAACUGAGGACGUGCGGGAGAUACUGCUGGGCUUGAGUCCGGAAGAGGGUGGUGGAAUUCCCAGUGUAGCGGUGAAAUGCGUAGAUAUUGGGAGGAACACCGGUGGCGAAGGCGGCCACCUGGGCCGGAACUGACGCUGAGGCGCGAAAGCGUGGGGAGCAAACGGG